CCUACGGGCGGCUGCAGUGGGGAAUAUUGCACAAUGGGGGAAACCCUGAUGCAGCAACGCCGCGUGAAGGAAGACGGUUUUCGGAUUGUAAACUUCUGUUCUUAGUGAAGAAUAAUGACCGUAGCUAAGGAGCAAGCCACGGCUAACUACGUGCCAGCAGCCGCGGUAAUACGUAGGUGGCAAGCGUUGUCCGGAAUUACUGGGUGUAAAGGGAGCGCAGGCGGGAAGCCAAGUCAGCUGUGAAAACUACGGGCUUAACUUGUAGACUGCAGUUGAAACUGGUUUUCUUGAGUGAAGUAGAGGUUGGCGGAAUUCCGAGUGUAGCGGUGAAAUGCGUAGAUAUUCGGAGGAACACCGGUGGCGAAGGCGGCCAACUGGGCUUUAACUGACGCUGAGGCUCGAAAGUGUGGGGAGCGAACAGGAUUAGAUACCCGAGUAGUC
rnacentral:rRNA from 1 species